rnacentral:rRNA from 1 species
UACGUAGGGGGCAAGCGUUGUCCGGAUUUAUUGGGCGUAAAGAGCGUGUAGGCGGUCUGGUAGGUCCGUUGUGAAAACUCGAGGCUCAACCUCGAGACGCCGAUGGAAACCCUCAGACUAGAGUCCGGAAGAGGAGAGUGGAAUUCCUGGUGUAGCGGUGAAAUGCGCAGAUAUCAGGAAGAACACCCGUGGCUAAGGCGGCUCUCUAGUACGGUACUGACGCUGAGACGCGAAAGCGUGGGGGGCGAACAGG